CACACAUUAGCAUAGUGGAAUGACUAACGUGGCUGCAGGUUCCCGCUGCCGAGGCAGAGGCUGGCGAGCCGCCAGGGGGACGGCGCGCGCUGGCAGACGGCGCCACAUCAAUAUCCCAACUAGCCACCAGAGCCCGACUCAAACGGUCGGGGACUUUAAAGGUAGCAGCUGGAGGACCUCUCUUGCCAAAGCACCACCUACCACAGCCGGCUACAAGUCCAUUAACGGAGGCCGUCUCCGCCCGGCCUCCAGUCGCCUGUGGGAGCGACUCGGGCUGUUACAUGAAAGAGGAGAGUAAUUUGGUUCACUACACAAAAGUGGACGUGCCUGGACAAUGUGAUAUUAAAAUGUCUUUGUGAUGGAAACACUGCGGUCUAUCACACGCCGCUUUUCUCCGCAGCGCUCGAAUUCCGUGUGUUUGCAGCUGCAGAAACGUGUGUUUCUGUCUUAUUUCGCCCUGAGCUUCGGUGGCUCAGACGGCGGAGAGCUUCUGCUCUGCAAUCUCACCGUAGCAUCGCUACAACCUACAUCACAGGCCCAUCAAUAGUGGCCUGCAGGUGAACCGCUCCAUAUGCAAUCACCAGGCGAUGAUUGCACGUGCAGUCAUGUAACUUUGAUUCCCACUGAUGGGUUGAAACCCACGUGGGCAACAGCAGCCGGGCAUCAGCUAAAGAUCUUAAAUAAAAAAAUAUGUAACAUUUUAUUUUGAAUAGUU
rnacentral:lncRNA from 1 species